rnacentral:rRNA from 1 species
UGGGGGAUAUUGCACAAUGGGCGAAAGCCUGAUGCAGCGACGCCGCGUGGGGGAUGAAGGCUUUCGGGUUGUAAACCUCUUUCGCUAUCGAACAAGGCCCGCUUAGGGUGGGUUGAGGGUAGGUGGAGAAGAAGCGCCGGCUAACUACGUGCCAGCAGCCGCGGUAAUACGUAGGGCGCGAGCGUUGUCCGGAAUUAUUGGGCGUAAAGGGCUUGUAGGCGGCUUGUUGCGCCUGCUGUGAAAACGCGGGGCUUAACUUCGCGCGUGCAGUGGGUACGGGCAGGCUUGAGUGUGGGAGGGGUGACUGGAAUUCCAGGUGUAGCGGUGGAAUGCGCAGAUAUCUGGAGGAACACCGAUGGCGAAGGCAGGUCACUGGGCCAUUACUGACGCUGAGGAGCGAAAGCAUGGGUAGCGAACAGG